rnacentral:rRNA from 1 species
GGCGAACGCUGGCGGCGUGCUUAACACAUGCAAGUCGAACGCUGAAGCUCAGCUUUUGUUGGGUGGAUGAGUGGCGAACGGGUGAGUAACACGUGAGUAACCUGCCCCCUUCUUUGGGAUAACGCCCGGAAACGGGUGCUAAUACUGGAUAUUCACUGGUCUUCGCAUGGGGGUUGGUGGAAAGGGUUUUUCUGGUGGGGGAUGGGCUCGCGGCCUAUCAGCUUGUUGGGGGGGUGAUGGCCUACCAAGGCUUUGACGGGUAGCCGGCCUGAGAGGGUGACCGGUCACAUUGGGACUGAGAUACGGCCCAGACUCCUACGGGAGGCAGCAGUGGGGAAUAUUGCACAAUGGGCGCAAGCCUGAUGCAGCGACGCCGCGUGAGGGAUGGAGGCCUUCGGGUUGUGAACCUCUUUCGCUCAUGGUCAAGCCGCAACAAUGGUUGUGGUGAGGGUAGUGGGUAAAGAAGCGCCGGCUAACUACGUG